rnacentral:rRNA from 1 species
UACGUAGGGUGCAAGCGUUGUCCGGAAUUAUUGGGCGUAAAGAGCUCGUAGGCGGUUUGUCGCGUCUGCUGUGAAAACUCGGGGCUUAACCCCGAACUUGCAGUGGGUACGGGCAGACUAGAGUGUGGUAGGGGAGACUGGAAUUCCUGGUGUAGCGGUGAAAUGCGCAGAUAUCAGGAGGAACACCGAUGGCGAAGGCAGGUCUCUGGGCCACUACUGACGCUGAGAAGCGAAAGCAUGGGGAGCGAACAGG